rnacentral:misc_RNA from 1 species
GAUGAAGAACGCAGCGAAAUGCGAUAAGUAGUGUGAAUUGCAGAAUUCAGUGAAUCAUCGAAUCUUUGAACGCACAUUGCGCCCCUUGGUAUUCCAUGGGGCAUGCCUGUUCGAGCGUCAUUUGUACCUUCAAGCUCUGCUUGGUGUUGGGUGUUUGUCCUUGCUCUAGUGGCGGGACUCGCCUUAAAGUAAUUGGCAGCCAGUGUUUUGGUUUUGAAGCGCAGCACAAAUCGCGAUUCAAGUCUAUACGCUAGUUUCCACAAGUCUUUUAUCACUUUUGACCUCGGAUCAGGUAGGGAUACCCGCUGAACUUAAGCAUAUCAAUAAGCGGAGGA